rnacentral:lncRNA from 7 species
AGCCCACACACCUCAUCUCUUGGGGAGAUAGCAAGGUGGCCUGUAGCUACCCACACCUCCUCCCGGGCAUGGCUUCUCAGCUUUGCUUCAAGCCCAGAACCCAAAGGAGCUCCUCUUACCUUUUGGCCCACAUUCUUCUCCUCCCGCGCAGCUCCUGUGGCAAGCAGGGGCACAGCUCUGGCCAGAUUCCUCCAUUCCUGCAAGGUUGCUUUUUGUCAUUCUUUGCCUUCUUUUGCUUUGCUCUCUUUUGCUGUGCUAUGCCUAGCUUUCCUACUUGCUUGCUCUGUAUUUACAUGCAUUGCUUUUUACUUGUUAUUCUCUUUUUUCCUCUGUUUCAUUAUUUUCCCUUCAACCCUCCCCCUUCCCUCACCCUACCUCCAAUUUUUUCCUUCCUACCCUCUCUCCUCUCCCCCCCAUCCACCCACGCCCCCACUUACUCACCCCCCCUCCCCCCCCCACUUCCUCCCUCCCCCCUCUUGCACCCCUCACCCCCCUCUAGCCCCACCGCUUUCCCCACUGCUCCUCCCCCUCUCCCCCCACUCCUUCACUUCCCCUCCCCUCCCCUCCCCUCCCCUCUCUUUUGCCCCCAUCCACUACCAUUCCCCCUUGCUUUAAGGGAAACUUACCUUUCCUGCUCUUCACUGACUUCUUGAUUCUCGUGGCUUUGGCUGCUAUUUUGCCUUGCUUUGCUUUGCUGUGCUAUGCAUUGCUUUCCCUGUAUUUCUUGCCAUCCACUCCUUCCUUCGAGUUAUUCUUUACUUUUGACUUGGCUUUUUUCUUCUUUCUCUUUACCUUUCUUCUCUUGUCAUUAUCCUUUUUCCUUUCGUUUUUCUUUUUUCAUCUAUUAUUUUUUCUUUUCUUUUUUUCUUUUUUCUUUUUUUCAUAUUUUUCUGUCCUCUUUUUAUUUCUAUUUUCUCUUUUUUCUUUUUUAUUUUUUUCUUUUUUAGCUUUUCUCUUUUUUCUCUUUUUUGUCAUUUUUUCUUUCUUUUUCUCUUUUUUGUUCAUUUUUUUUCUUUUCUCUUUUUUUCUUUUUUUUCAUUUUUUCUUUUCUCUUUUUCUCUUUUUGUUCAUUUUUUUUUUUUUUCUUUUUUUGUUCAUUUUUUUCUUUUUUCUUUUUUUCUUUUUUUCUUUUCAUUUUUUCUCUUUUUCUUAUUUUUCUUUUCUUUUUUUCUCUUUUUUUCAUCUUUUUUUACCUUUUCUCUUUUUUCUCUUUUUUGUUCAUUUUUUUUCUUUUCUCUUUUUUCUCUUUUUUGUUCAUUUCCUUUUUUCUUUUCUCUAUUUUAUCUUUUUCGUUCAUUUUUUCUUUUUUUCUUUUCAUUUUUUCUCUUUUUCUUAUUUUUCUUUUUAUUUUUCUCUUAUUUCAUAUUUUUUGUUCUUAUUUUUUCUUUUCUUUUUUCAUCAUUGGUUUGCCUUCAGCCCUCCCCUCAGCCCUUCCCUCCGCUCUGCUCUUCACCCAUCCCCUCCCCUCCCCUUCCCAUCCCUCUUUCUCCCUUACCCUCCCCUUUCCCCUUGCCUUUGCUUCCCAUUACCUUGCCUGCCCUUCACUUACCUUCUCCUCACUUCCUGCUUCUUGAUGCUAUGGGCUUUUGCUGCUACUCACGCCAAACCUCAGCACUUGCCUACUCUGCUUGCUGCUCCGCCAAGUUGCUCUCUACUCUGCUCACAGCUUCACGCCUACUGCCUGCCCUUCUCUGUCCCCUUCUCGUGCCCUUCAGGCUUUUCCUCCCCUUGCUGAGCAAGGCCAUGCCCGGUAGCUACCCUUGAAUCCUCCGCCCUUUGCCCUCCU